rnacentral:rRNA from 1 species
UAGGCGUAAAUGAUGCGAGUUAAGUGUGGGGCAUCUACGAGAUGGCCCUGUGCUGUAGGGUAGACCGUUAAACUCGCUGCCGUGGGGAGUACGGUCGCAAGGCUAGAAAACUUAAAAGGAAUUGGGCGGGGGAGCACCACAAGAGGUGGAGGCUGCGGUUCAAUUGGACUCAACGCCGGAAAAACUCAUCGGGAGCGACAGCAGUAUGAUUGCCAGGUUGAUGACCUUGCUUGACAAGCUGAGAGGAGGUGCAU